rnacentral:rRNA from 1 species
GACGAACGCUGGCGGCGUGCCUAAUACAUGCAAGUAGAACGCUGAAGGAGGAGCUUGCUCUUCUGGAUGAGUUGCGAACGGGUGAGUAACGCGUAGGUAACCUGCCUGGUAGCGGGGGAUAACUAUUGGAAACGAUAGCUAAUACCGCAUAACAGUAGAUGUUGCAUGACAUUUACUUAAAAGGUGCAAUUGCAUCACUACCAGAUGGACCUGCGUUGUAUUAGCUAGUUGGUGGGGUAACGGCUCACCAAGGCGACGAUACAUAGCCGACCUGAGAGGGGGAGCGGCCAACCGGGGACUGAGACCCGGCCCAGACUCCUAGGGGAGGCAGCAGGAGGGAAUCUUCGGCAAUGGACGGAAGUCUGACCGAGCAACGCCGCGGGAGUGAAGAAGGUUUUCGGAUCGUAAAGCUCUUUUGUAAGGGAAGAACGGGUGUGAGAGGGGAAAGUUCACCCUGUGACGGUAUCGUACCAGAAAGGGACGGCUAAUUACGU